GCCAUUUUGCGAGAUCUAGGUCUUAUUAGCCUGAAUCUGAGCUCUUCUGAGAGGUUGGAUUCGAACUCUUUUAUUUCUAUUCUAGCACCCUCUUGAGGUCAGCAUGGCAUUUUGGCGCUUUUGGCUAUUGUGUGAGAUCAAAGUCUCUUUACCUUAUGACUCGAGCUCCUUUGGGAGGUCGGAGUUUAGCUUUUUCAUUUAGG
rnacentral:lncRNA from 1 species